rnacentral:rRNA from 1 species
GAUCAUGGCUCAGGAUGAACGCUGGCGGCGUGCUUAACACAUGCAAGUCGAACGGACGAUGAAGAGCUUGCUUUUCAGAGUUAGUGGCGGACGGGUGAGUAACGCGUGGGUAACCUGCCUCAUACAGGGGGAUAACAGUUGGAAACGACUGCUAAUACCGCAUAAGCGCACAGGAUUGCAUGAUCCAGUGUGAAAAACUCCGGUGGUAUGAGAUGGACCCGCGUCUGAUUAG